UGAUUCCUUCUUUCGACAGUUGUGCUGUCUGUGGUGUUGAGGUAAUUGGGCCGCUUGGUGUUAUCGCUGCUUAUUGCAGUUCAGAACAUCAUUUGUUGUUUCAUUAGGAUUAAAAGUGUAGCUUCAGUUUUAAACAGAAAUAAUGCCGCGAGGAGGUAAACCCCAACUUAAUGAGGAGUGGUUGGAUGAAGAAGAAGAUAUGAAGCCUGUUCUUACUACUGAGGGUUCAGAAAAAGGUGUGAAGAAAGCAAAGAAGGACAAGAAGGCCAAAAAAUCUUUUUUUGAUGAGUUGGCAGCGGACGAUAAACAGUCAAAACUGGAAGAGAAAAGUAUAAAAACAACAAGAACAG